UUGAAAUCUUGGAAGGAAGAAAAGUACAUAUUGAAAAUGCAGUUUGAUCAAGAUAUGCAAACCCCGCUUGCCCCAGGGAUGGACCCUGACUGUCCCACAGAACAAACUCUCUGACCAUGAUGAGGGUGAUUCUGGAUCCUGGACAGAACCAAGGAAGACUGAAGAUGCUGGACCAUAGGAACACUGGAGCACAGGAACAGGACGUGAUGCUCACCAGAAAUUAUGUCACUGAGAGAGAGGAUUCCCUUAUGCUAAGGAAUCACAGCAUGCAGGACCUCCCUACCAACGGCUGCAUCGGCUGAAGAUUCCGUAUCUGUCUUGUAAGAGUUGGUAAAUGUAUACAUGAAUAACCAAGCUGCAGCUAUGCAGAUUUCAUCAUAAAGGGCUUGCUCUUUCACAGCCCAUAAUGCCGCCAUCACUUUUGUACUGAGUGAGCUCUGGUACCAAGGGAGGACUGAGUCCUUUAUGCCUGUAUGCAUAACAUUUUAUACGC